CUGCUUCUUCCCUAUGACCGUCAUGAUACCCCCAUGCAACAAACCAUUUCUGAAUGCAGCAAAUUCUGUCAGUGGGAGGAAUAGUGUUGCCUCUAUCCUUUUUUCCUUUUUAAUCUCCAAAAGUUAUGUUGCAAGUUUGUGGGUCGUACUUGUGAAAGAUUGCCCUGUGUAAGCUUUUCAGAUUCACGCUGACGCGUCCG
rnacentral:lncRNA from 1 species